rnacentral:rRNA from 1 species
CCUACGGGAGGCAGCAGUGAGGAAUAUUGGUCAAUGGACGCAAGUCUGAACCAGCCAAGUAGCGUGCAGGAUGACGGCCCUCCGGGUUGUAAACUGCUUUUAGUUGGGAAUAAAAGGGGGCUCGUGAGCCCCGUAUUGUAUGUACCAUCAGAAAAAGGACCGGCUAAUUCCGUGCCAGCAGCCGCGGUAAUACGGAAGGUCCGGGCGUUAUCCGGAUUUAUUGGGUUUAAAGGGAGCGUAGGCCGGCUUUUAAGUCAGUUUUGAAAGUUUGCGGCUCAACCGUAAAAUUGCAGUUGAAACUGGCAGUCUUGAGUACAGUAGAGGUGGGCGGAAUUCGUGGUGUAGCGGUGAAAUGCUUAGAUAUCACGAAGAACUCCGAUUGCGAAGGCAGCUCACUGGACUGCAACUGACACUGAGGCUCGAAAGUGUGGGUAUCAAACAGGAUUAGAUACCCGGGUAGUC